rnacentral:rRNA from 1 species
ACUCCUACGGGAGGCAGCAGUGGGGAAUAUUGGACAAUGGGGGGCAACCCUGAUCCAGCAAUGCCGCGUGUGUGAAGAAGGUCUUCGGAUCGUAAAGCACUUUCGGCGGGGACGAUGAUGACGGUACCCGCAGAAGAAGCCCCGGCUAACUUCGUGCCAGCAGCCGCGGUAAU